UACGUAGGGGGCUAGCGUUAUCCAGAUUUACUGGGCGUAAAGCGCGUGUAGGCGGCUGGUUAGGUGUGAUGUGAAAUCUUCGGGCUCAACCCGAAAACUGCAUUGCAAACCGGCCUGGCUAGAGUGCAGGAGAGGGAAGCGGAAUUCCAGGUGUAGCGGUGAAAUGCGUAGAUAUCUGGAGGAACACCAGUGGCGAGGGCGGCUUCCUGGCCUGUUCUUGACGCUGAGGCGCGAAAGCUAGGGUAGCAAACGGG
rnacentral:rRNA from 1 species